CAGUAGCCGCGGUAAUACGUAGGUGGCAAGCGUUGUCCGGAAUUAUUGGGCGUAAAGCGAGCGCAGGCGGUUAGAUAAGUCUGAAGUUAAAGGCUGUGGCUUAACCAUAGUACGCUUUGGAAACUGUCUAACUUGAGUGCAAGAGGGGAGAGUGGAAUUCCAUGUGUAGCGGUGAAAUGCGUAGAUAUAUGGAGGAACACCGGUGGCGAAAGCGGCUCUCUGGUCUGUCACUGACGCUGAGGCUCGAAAGCGUGGGUAGCGAACAGGAUUAGAUACCCCAGUAGUCCCUGUCUCUUAUACC
rnacentral:rRNA from 1 species